CGUGAGACAGUUCGGUCCCUAUCUGCCGUGGGCGCUGGAGAACUGAGGGGGGCUGCUCCUAGUACGAGAGGACCGGAGUGGACGCAUCACUGGUGUUCGGGUUGUCAUGCCAAUGGCACUGCCCGGUAGCUAAAUGCGGAAGAGAUAAGUGCUGAAAGCAUCUAAGCACGAAACUUGCCCCGAGAUGAGUUCUCCCUGACUCCUUGAGAGUCCUGAAGGAACGUUGAAGACGACGACGUUGAUAGGCCGGGUGUGUAAGCGCAGCGAUGCGUUGAGCUAACCGGUACUAAUGAACCGUGAGGCUUAACCUUACAACGCCGAAGGUGUUU
rnacentral:rRNA from 1 species